UUGCUUCAGACUUCGAAAACCACUUGUGACAUCUGUACCAAACACAGUGACAAUGGUCUCACUGCAACCUGAAAAGCCAGUUGUCCCUGGAACAGAAGUAACACUUUCCCUACCAGCAGUAACUUUUGAAGAAUCUUCAGGUGCAGCUAUUUGUCUUCCAUCUGUGAAACCUUUUGUUACAUCUACUGGGACCACAUCUGACAAGCCUGUUAUUGGCACUCCAAUGCAAAUCAAACUUGCCCAGCCGGGCCCUGUCCUUUCACAACCAGCUGGGAUUCCACAGGCAGUUAAAGUCAAGCAACUAGUAGUUCAGCAGGCUUCAGGAGGCAGUGAAAAACGGGUGACCACACUUACACAUUCCUCAGCAUUGACCAUUCAGAAAUCUGGAUAGAAGACAAUGCCAGUGAACACCAUAAUACCUACCAGUCAGUUUCUUCCAUCUUCUGUUCUAAAGCAAAUUACUCUGCCUGGAAAUAAAAUUCUGUUGCUUCAAGCAUCUUCUACUCAAAAAAAUAAAGUAAAAGAGAAUGGAACAAUAUGCUUCAGGGAUGAAGAUGACAUCAAUGAUGUGACUUCUAUGGCAGGGGUCAACCUUAAUGAAGAAAAUGCCUGUGUCUUAGCAACAAACUCUGAAUUGGUUGGCACACUCAUUCAGUCAUGUAAAGAUGAACCAUUUCUUUUUAUUGGAGUUCUACAAAAGAGAAUUUUAGACAUUGGUAAAAAGCAUGACAUUACAGAACUUAACUGUUGCUGUGAACUUGAUCACCCAUGCAACACAGGAAAAAUUAUGAAGCCUUCUAGAAAAACUGACUGCAAUUGCUCAGCAUUGAAUGACUACUUACAAGGCAAGUGAAAAUUACAUCCUGUGUAGUGAUACCAGGUCACACCUCAAAUUUCUUGAAAAGCUGGAUCAAUUGGAGAAGCAGAGAAAGGAUUUAGAAGAAAGAGAAAUGUUACUUAAGGCAGCCAAGAGUCAUUGUAAUAAAGAAGAUCCAGAACAGCUGAGAUUAAAGCAGAAAGCCAAUGAGUUACAGCAACUGGAACUUGAACAGAUACAGCAUAGAGAUGCUAAUCUCACAGCUCUUGCAGCUAUUGGACCAAGGAAGAAGAGACCACUAGAACUUGGAAGUGAGGGCUUAAAAGACAACCUUCUUGCUUCUGGGACAUCCAGCCUGACAGUCACCAAACAGUUGCUUCAUCUAAGAAUCACAAGAAUCUGCCUCAGGGACUUGAUAUUUUGUAUGGAACAGGAAGAGGAGAUGAAAUAUUCUCGAGCUCUAUACCUGGCCCUUCUGAAGGGA
rnacentral:lncRNA from 1 species